GAUCGGAGUCUGCAACCCGACUCCAUGAAGCUGGAUUCGCUAGUAAUCGCGCAUCAGCCACGGCGCGGUGAAUACGUUCCCGGGCCUUGUACACACCGCCCGUCAAGCCAUGGAAGCCGGGGGUGCCUGAAGUGCGUGACCGCAAGGAGCGCCCUAGGGUAAAACCGGUGACUGGGGCUAAGUCGUAACAAGGUAAC
rnacentral:rRNA from 1 species